AGAAAAUCAAUUGCUAAAUUUCAUUGAUUCAGGAAAAGGAAGGUGAUAAAACUAUUCUUUGUGUAUUACCAGCCAUCUAAUUGAUGACUCAUGAAACAAACAAAUUAAGAAGAAAGACAAACUGAAGAUGAAUCUAGGCUGUUUUCUUCUUCUCGGCAUCAGUGCAAUAAACAAUUUCAAACAGAAAGCAAACACCUCUAAGAAUCUGUUCCCAAG
rnacentral:lncRNA from 11 species